UGAUCUCAAGGACCAGAUCUAGAUUCUAGC
rnacentral:piRNA from 1 species